AAGUAAGCUUGGGCGGUUUUGGUUAAAAUUAAAACCGGUAAACCGUACGCUAAAAAACCGGUUAAACCGAAAAACCGGUUUUUUAACUUUAAAAAAUUAACGCGAUUCCAAUAUUGAAUAACGCGCAAUAACCGCUAUCCUAUAGCGGGCAAACAACGUGAAAUCGACGUUAAAUGGUUUGAAAACGUCAUUUCGAUGCCUGAAACCUUGAAACAACGUCAAUUUCAUGUUGUGUGCGCGCUGGGAAAUAUGUACAAAUGAAAACAUAAUUUCAACGCUCAACAAUUGCACAAAUUACACGUGUCUUUAGCGGUAAGGUUCGAUAAUUGUAAUUUUAUCAACCUUGUUUUCCACGCUCUUGUGCCUUCGCAGGAUGAUGAUCGCGGAGAUGGCGUUGAAGGUUGGAAGUAUUUCCUCCAGCAGCAGAAACCUUUUUGAGGCAAAGCUUGCACGUCGGCUUGGCGUUGUCGUCUUCAUCGGUUUUAAACACGAAAUAUAUAUAUUGACAAAUUGGGGAUGUAAACGACUUUUUCGAACGUAAAUCGGCAGCGCUAACAUUUUGUGUAGCCAUGUUUGCGCUGAUAAUUGGCGAAGUAAAGACUUUACCGCGCGCGUGGAAAAAAUGUCAUCACAACAGUCAUAUAUGUCAGCAUUGCUUAACAAUUAACAAUUAUAUAGUGCGCUUUUUGAUAUGUAGUAAAAACCGGUUUUCCGGUUAUUGAAAAC